rnacentral:rRNA from 1 species
UACGUAGGGUGCAAGCGUUGUCCGGAAUUAUUGGGCGUAAAGAGCUCGUAGGCGGUUCGUCGCGUCGGCUGUGAAAUCCCGAGGCUCAACCUCGGGUCUGCAGUCGAUACGGGCGGACUGGAGUACUGCAGGGGAGACUGGAAUUCCUGGUGUAGCGGUGAAAUGCGCAGAUAUCAAGGAGGAACACCGGUGGCGAAGGCGGGUCUCUGGGCAGUUGACUGACGCUGGAGGAGCGAAAGCGUGGGGAGCGAACA